UGACCCAGUUCAGAAAAAAAACCCACAAAAUAGAACCAGAGUCCUAUUCCAUUAUUCCUAGCUGCGGUAUUCAGGCGACCGGGCCUGCUUUGAACACUCUAAUUUUUCCAAAGUAAACGCUUCGGACCCCGCAGGACACUCAGUUAAGAGCA